rnacentral:piRNA from 1 species
UGGUGCAAAAAUCACAAGAAUAAACAUUCCUC